UAAGAAGGCAAAUAAAACUGUUCAAUGUAAAAUACGCCAGUCGGCACAGUCAAAGGUCACAACAACAAUGGAGGAAUUAACUGCAUCCUCAUUCCGAAGGACAGCAGGCCAUUUUCAGCAACCCUGAAAUUCUUAAUUGAGGCUAAGUGCCCAUUUUCAGCUUGAACAAUGACAAUUAAAGAGGCCUGUGCAAAUGUUGGGAUUUCCCUAUUGAAUGUGAUGCAAGGGAUAGUUCGCUGCACCUCAAAACAAAAUUUGAAUAUUGGCAUCAGAUUCAAGGACAACACCACCUGAAAGACACCCAAUGCUGUGAUUUGCUAGUGUGGAUUCCUAGUGACACUCAAAUAAUUCACAUUGACAAAGAUGUAUUAUGGUCAACCUUUUACGCGUGAUAGAGUUUAAUUAUAAUAAUGAAGUAAUUUUGCAGUCUAAAACACACACACAUAACCACAUGUACAUAUACUUUAUUAUGAUAUCAGUGGUGCAUCUAUCAAAGUUAUGUAAUUACAUGUAUAUUUAUAUUUAUUGAAUAAACAUUAUAGACAGAG